ensembl:lncRNA
CUUCUGCAUUAAUCCAAAAUUAGACUACGGACACUUUUUAAAUGUGGCACCAGUUAACAGAACGAUGUCAGAGUGAUCACAUGACAUGUGUGCAUGCUUCAUGUUCAGGAAGGAGUCCUGUGAUGAAACACAAAGAGGCUCAAAGCUGCGUGAAGCCGGAUCAGGACCAAACUGAGAGCGGUUCUGUAGAGUCUGCAUGAGUCCUGAUCUCUAAGUGAUUAAUAACUAAUCAAACGUUCCUCACAGUAACGUCUGAUGAACACGAUCCCUUAUGGAGGGAACCAGCAUGCUGAGUCCUCACGUGAUCUGGUCUCCACUAAAGGCUCAAACCUGCAGAGCUGCUGCUGUUCUCACACGUUCUCACCACAACGCUUCCUCUUCACUUCUGAGGAAACAACCACCAGAUGCAAAGAGGAAGAAACUCAUCCUCAGAGCUCCGACACGUCGUCUCUAUGAGCACGACGAGGAAGUGACGCUGUGCAACCAGAGGAAGCAGAAGCUGCAUCUGUGAGGAAGAAGCACUCGGUCAGACGCCUUGAGGAGCAGAGACACCAUGGUGGAACUCAGAGGGACUCAAAGGACUUUAUGUGUGAUGCUGCUGCUGCUUCAGGCUGCAGUAAGAGGACAAACCCCCCCUGUCCCCCGCUUCCUCGUCAGAGCCGGAGAUGACGUCACUUUGCCUUCUAAUCAGGACAGAUGUAACGGAUCUACUUGGCUUCACAGUCGUAGUGAUCCAGCUGUGGAGCUGGUUACACUUGGGAAGAUUAAGAAUAACGCUUUGAUUCCAGAAGCUAAAACCAACAGACUGAGUUUGACAGCAAACUGUUCUCUGGUUAUAAGAAACGUCUCAGGUGAAGGUGUUGGUCGUUACACCAACAGACAUUAUGAUGAAGGAGGAAAACAUCAAGGUCCAGAUGGUGUGGUCUCUCUGUACGUGUUUACAAUGGAGGAAAAGGACUACGGGGGUCUGGUUGUGUUGUCCUGCUUUGUGUUGAGAUUCUCUGAGUGUGAACACACAGUAAAGUGGCAUUAUGACGGCAAACAGACUGAUGUGACGACAUCACACGUUGCUUGUGAAGCCAAUGUGACGUUUAAAGCUCCUCUUCAUCAGAAGUCAAAGUAUUAUAAGUCACUGAGAUGUGAAGUGAGAGACACUCGGAGUGGAAAAACUCUGCUGUUUGAAGCCUGCAGUCAGUUCUCAUGUGAACAAACAGUAAGAGGACAAACCCCCCCUGACCCCCGCUUCCUCGUCAGAGCCGGAGAUGACGUCACUUUGCCUUCUAACCAUGUGGAUCAGGACAGAUGUGACGGUUCUACUUGGCUUUACAAUCGUACUGAUUCAUCUGUGGAGCUGGUUACACUUGGGAAGAUUAAUAAUAACGCUUUGAUUCCAGAAGCUAAAAGCAACAAACUGAGUUUGACAGCAAACUGUUCUCUGGUUAUAAGAAGCGUCUCAGGUGAAGAUGUUGGUCGUUACACCAACAGAGAUUUUAAUGAAGCAGGAAAACAACAAGGUCCAGAUGGUGUGGUCUCUCUGUCCAUGUUUACAAUGGAGGAAAAGGACUACGGGGGUCUGGUUGUGUUUUCCUGCUUUGUGUUGAGAUUCUCUGAGUGUGAACACACAGUAGAGUGGCUUUAUGACGGCAAACAGACUGAUGUGAUGAUGUCACACGCUGCUUGUGAAGCCACUGUGACGUUUAAAGCUCCUCUUCAUCAGAAGUCAAAGUAUUAUAAGUCACUGAGAUGUGAAGUGAGAGACAAUCAGAGCGGAAAAACUCUGCUGUUUGAAGCCUGCAGUCAGUUCUCAUCUGAACAAACAGGAGGCCCAUCGGGGGAGGGAAACAUUACACCACCUGCACCACCAGUCUCCUCAGGUAGUAAAGGAGGAGGAGGCCCAUCGCGGGAGGGAAACAUUACUCCACCUGCACCACCAGGAGGCCCAUCGGGGGAGGACAACAUUACACCACCUGCACAGAGCGACUCUUCAUCAGUCUGGUGGCCGUGGCUCGUCAUCCCGCUGGUGGGUUUAUUGGUCCUCUUCAUCAUCCUCGUGGUCUUCAUCAGAUGGAGAAAUCAAGGGAAAAGAACACAGACGGACGAAAACAUCGCCGACCCCGAGGAAGGCGUAGCCUACGCCUCCGUCAGCUACACCAGGACGGCCGGCGGAGGAGCCCGGGCUCGAGUCAAAGAUGGCGACGAUGCGGUGACUUACUGCACUGUGAAAGCUCCGCCUCCUGCUUCUUCUUCUGGUGCCGGAGCCUCCGUUGAUCCCAGUGACCUCUACGCGGUCGUCAACAAACCCAACAAAUAAGAGGCUACGUUGAUGAUUGUAAACCAAGUCAAGCUUUCUUCAUCACGUUCACUCACUGCUGAGAUGAAUUGAGCCAUUUAGUAAAAUGUUUAGAGCAUUUUACAUUCAUUGAUGAUUUUAUUUGAAUAACCUGAAUGUUCCCACCAGAUAAAUCAGAUUAUUAUUGGAAAAAGGAGUAAAACAAGACUGAAAAUGUAAAUAUGAUAAUAUUAACACAUAGUUUUGCAUUUAAAGUGCGCAUUUUUGAUUACAUUUUACAUUUUUUACAUUAUGAUCAUUUUGUUAUGAUAGUAUGAUUUAUUCCUUUUGCAAUUGUUGGAUAAAAAAAAGCCUUUCUAUCCAGAACAGGGUGUAGUAAGUUAACGUGUUUUAUAUUUAUUGAUAAUUUUAUUUGAAUAACCUGUUCCCACCAGAUCAAUCAAUGGAGGCAUACUGAGAAUGUAAAUAUGAUAAUAAUGAAACAUAGUUUUGCAUUUAAAGUGAGCAUUUGACCACGUUUUUUUACAUUAUGAUAAUUUUGUUGUGAUAAUUUGUUGUUUGUUGGAUUUGUUGCUUUUGCGAUUGUUCUUCAUGUCCUCAUGAAAUAAACUAGUAACAUAUAGUUUAUCAGGGUUCAUAGUCCAGAUUAAUUGUUUUUUAUUAUAUAUUCCUGUAAUAGUUUCACCUCGUGGAUGUUGAGUUUGCUUUGAACUAAAUAAAAGACAGAAAGGAAGUGCGUUGUGAUCCAG